GAGUACCUACGGGAGGCAGCAGUGAGGAAUAUUGGUCAAUGGGCGCGAGCCUGAACCAGCCAAGUAGCGUGAAGGAUGACUGCCCUACGGGUUGUAAACUUCUUUUAUAAAGGAAUAAAGUGAGGCACGUGUGCCUUUUUGUAUGUACUUUAUGAAUAAGGAUCGGCUAACUCCGUGCCAGCAGCCGCGGUAAUACGGAGGAUCCGAGCGUUAUCCGGAUUUAUUGGGUUUAAAGGGAGCGUAGAUUGGUUGUUACGUCAGUUGUGAAAUUUUGCGGUUCAA
rnacentral:rRNA from 1 species